rnacentral:sRNA from 2 species
AAAAGACAUAUGCCGAAUUUCCUCACACUAGGGAAGCGGGGGAACCAUUUACGGGUGAAUUGAUCUUGCAACAGAGGGAUCAUAGGGGACCUUCUACCGAAUCCUUAAGCUAACCUCGCAGGCACCGGAAGGAGUAUUA